AGAGUUUGAUCCUGGCUCAGAUUGAACGCUAGCGGGAUGCUUUACACAUGCAAGUCGAACGGCAGCACGAGAGAGCUUGCUCUCUUGGUGGCGAGUGGCGGACGGGUGAGUAAUAUAUCGGAACGUGCCCAGUAGCGGGGGAUAACUACUCGAAAGAGUGGCUAAUACCGCAUACGCCCUACGGGGGAAAGGGGGGGAUCGCAAGACCUCUCACUAUUGGAGCGGCCGAUAUCGGAUUAGCUAGUUGGUGGGGUAAAGGCCCACCAAGGCAACGAUCCGUAGCUGGUUUGAGAGGACGACCAGCCACACUGGGACUGAGACACGGCCCAGACUCCUACGGGAGGCAGCAGUGGGGAAUUUUGGACAAUGGGGGAAACCCUGAUCCAGCCAUCCCGCGUGUAUGAUGAAGGCCUUCGGGUUGUAAAGUACUUUUGGCAGAGAAGAAAAGGCAUCCCCUAAUACGGGAUGCUGCUGACGGUAUCUGCAGAAUAAGCACCGGCUAACUACGUGCCAGCAGCCGCGGUAAUACGUAGGGUGCAAGCGUUAAUCGGAAUUACUGGGCGUAAAGCGUGUGUAGGCGGUUCGGAAAGAAAGAUGUGAAAUCCCAGGGCUCAACCUUGGAACUGCAUUUUUAACUGCCGAGCUAGAGUAUGUCAGAGGGGGGUAGAAUUCCACGUGUAGCAGUGAAAUGCGUAGAUAUGUGGAGGAAUACCGAUGGCGAAGGCAGCCCCCUGGGAUAAUACUGACGCUCAGACACGAAAAGCGUGGGGAGCAAACAGGAUUAGAUACCGUGGUAGUCCACGCCCUAAACGAUGUCAACUAGCUGUUGGGGCCGUUAGGCCUUAGUAGCGCAGCUAACGCGUGAAGUUGACCGCCUGGGGAGUACGGUCGCAAGAUUAAAACUCAAAGGAAUUGACGGGGACCCGCACAAGCGGUGGAUGAUGUGGAUUAAUUCGAUGCAACGCGAAAAACCUUACCUACCCUUGACAUGUCUGGAAUGCCGAAGAGAUUUGGCAGUGCUCGCAAGAGAACCGGAACACAGGUGCUGCAUGGCUGUCGUCAGCUCGUGUCGUGAGAUGUUGGGUUAAGUCCCGCAACGAGCGCAACCCUUGUCAUUAGUUGCUACGCAAGAGCACUCUAAUGAGACUGCCGGUGACAAACCGGAGGAAGGUGGGGAUGACGUCAAGUCCUCAUGGCCCUUAUGGGUAGGGCUUCACACGUCAUACAAUGGUCGGGACAGAGGGUCGCCAACCCGCGAGGGGGAGCCAAUCUCAGAAACCCGAUCGUAGUCCGGAUCGCAGUCUGCAACUCGACUGCGUGAAGUCGGAAUCGCUAGUAAUCGCGGAUCAGAAUGUCGCGGUGAAUACGUUCCCGGGUCUUGUACUCACCGCCCGUCAA
rnacentral:rRNA from 1 species